rnacentral:rRNA from 1 species
GAUGAACGCUGGCGGCGUGCCUAAUACAUGCAAGUCGAGCGAACAGACGAGGAGCUUGCUCCUCUGACGUUAGCGGCGGACGGGUGAGUAACACGUGGAUAACCUACCUAUAAGACUGAGAUAACUUCGGGAAACCGGAGCUAAUACCGGAUAAUAUAUUGAACCGCAUGUUUCAAUAGUGAAAGACGGUUUUGCUGUCACUUAUAGAUGGAUCCGCGCCGCAUUAGCUAGUUGGUAAGGUAACGGCUUACCAAGGCAACGAUGCGUAGCCGACCUGAGAGGGUGAUCGGCCACACUGGAACUGAGACACGGUCCAGACUCCUACGGGAGGCAGCAGUAGGGAAUCUUCCGCAAUGGGCGAAAGCCUGACGGAGCAACGCCGCGUGAGUGAUGAAGGUCUUCGGAUCGUAAAACUCUGUUAUUAGGGAAGAACAAAUGUGUAAGUAACUAUGCACGUCUUGACGGUACCUAAUCAGAAAGCCACGGCUAACUACGUG